rnacentral:rRNA from 1 species
GAUGAACGCUAGCGGCAGGCCUAACACAUGCAAGUCGAGGGAGGAGCUUUCGGGCUUCGACCGGCGUACGGGUGCGUAACGCGUAUACAAUCUGCCUUUCACAUAGGGAUAGCCCGAAGAAAUUUGGAUUAAUACCUAAUGGUAUAUAGAGGUGGCAUCACCUUUAUAUUAAAGCUGAGGCGGUGAAAGAUGAGUAUGCGUUCUAUUAGCUAGUUGGAGAGGUAACGGCUCCCCAAGGCGACGAUAGAUAGGGGUUCUGAGAGGGAUAUCCCCCACACUGGUACUGCGGUACAGACCAGACUCCUACGGGAGGGAGCAGUGAGGAAUAUUGGACGAUGGUCGGAAGACUGAUCCAGCCAUGCCGGGUGCAGGAAGACGGCCUUAUGGGUUGUAAACUGCUUUUGCAGAGGAAGAAUAAGGAAUACGCGUAGUUUGAUGACGGUACUCAGCGAAUAAGCAUCGGCUAACUCCGUG